UCCUCAGUAGUAUAGUGGUAAGUAACUCUGCUUGUCAAACAGGAGACUGGGGUUCGAUUCCCCAUGAAAGAG
rnacentral:tRNA from 1 species